rnacentral:rRNA from 1 species
CAUGUCCUUUAAGGAUAAUGAUUAAAGGUCUAGUCUGCCCAAUGAUUAUUUAAAUGGCCGCGGUAUAUUGACCGUGCAAAGGUAGCAUAAUCAUUAGUUUUUUGAUUGAAAGCUAGUAUGAAUGGCUGGACGAGAAAAGUUCUGUCUCAGUCUAACUUUUUUGGAAUUUUACUUUUAAGUGAAAAGGCUUAAAUAAAUAUAAAAGACGAGAAGACCCUAUAGAGUUUUAUAAUUUUAAGAAUUUUUAAGAAUAAGAAUUUAUUUUUUAGAUUCAAGGAAUUAUUUGGUUGGGGUGAUUAAAAGAUUAAAAAAACUCUUUUUCUUUAUUUUCAUAGAUUUAUGUUUAAAUGAUCCGUUAUUAACGAUUAAAAGAUUAAAUUACCUUAGGGAUAACAGCGUUAUUUUCUUAGAGAGUUCUAAUCGAUAAGAAAGUUUGCGACCUCGAUGUUGGAUUAAAAUUAAUUUAAGGUGCAGAAGCUUUAGGAUUGAGUCUGUUCGACUUUUAAAAUUUUACAUGAUCUGAGU